UGAACGCUGGCGGCGUGCUUACACAUGCAAGUCGAACGAGAAAUCUUUAGCUUGCUAGAGAAAGUAAAGUGGCGCACGGGUGAGUAACGCGUGGGUAAUCUGCCUCCGAAUCGGGGAUAACAUUGCGAAAGCGAUGCUAAUACCGGAUAAAAUCUGGUUGGCUUAGGUGAACCGGAUCAAAGGUGGUCUCUUUAUAAAAGCUACCGUUUGGAGAUGAGCUCGCGUACCAUUAGCUAGUUGGUGAGGUAAAGGCUCACCAAGGCGACGAUGGUUAGCUGGUCUGAGAGGAUGAUCAGCCACACCGGAACUGGAACACGGUCCGGACUCCUACGGGAGGCAGCAGUGAGGAAUUUUGCGCAAUGGGGGAAACCCUGACGCAGCAACGCCGCGUGAGUGAUGAAGGCUUUCGGGUCGUAAAGCUCUGUCAGGUGGGAAGAACCCACCAAGUGUUAAGACCACUUGGUGCUGACGGUACCACCGAAGGAAGCACCGGCUAACUCCGUGCCAGCAGCCGCGGUAAUACGGGGGGUGCGAGCGUUAUUCGGAAUCAUUGGGCGUAAAGGGCGCGCAGGCGGUUUUGUAAGUCAGAUGUGAAAUCCCGGGGCUUAACCCCGGAAGUGCAUAUGAAACUAUGAGACUUGAGUAUGGGAGAGGGAAGCGGAAUUCCUGGUGUAGCGGUGAAAUGCGUAGAUAUCAGGAGGAACACCGGUGGCGAAGGCGGCUUCCUGGACCAAUACUGACGCUGAGGCGCGAAGGCGUGGGGAGCGAACAGGAUUAGAUACCCUGGUAGUCCACGCAGUAAACGUUGAUCACUAGGUGUAGCGGGUAUUGACCCUUGCUGUGCCGGAGUUAACGCAUUAAGUGAUCCGNCUGGGGAGUACGAUCACAAGAUUAAAACUCAAAGGAAUUGACGGGGGCCCGCACAAGCGGUGGAGCAUGUGGUUUACUUCGACGCAACGCGA
rnacentral:rRNA from 1 species